rnacentral:rRNA from 1 species
CCUACGGGGGGCUGCAGUGGGGAAUAUUGGACAAUGGGCGCAAGCCUGAUCCAGCAAUGCCGCGUGUGUGAAGAAGGCCUGCGGGUUGUAAAGCACUUUGAGUGGGGAAGAAGGCCUGGGGGUUAAUAGCUUCUGGGAUUGACGUUACCCACAGAACAAGCACCGGCUAACUCCGUGCCAGCAGCCGCGGUAAUACGGAGGGUGCGAGCGGGAAUCGGAAUUCCCGUGGGUGAAGCAAGCGGAGGGGGUUGAAAGCCCUGGGCUUAACCUGGGAACUGCAUUGGAUACUGUUUGACUGGAGUGUGGUAGAGGGGUGUGGAAUUUCCGGUGUAGCAGUGAAAUGCGUAGAGAUCGGAAGGAACACCAGUGGCGAAGGCGGCACCCUGGACCGACACUGACGCUGAGGUGCGAAAGCGUGGGGAGCAAACAGGAUUAGAUACCCUUGUAGUC